rnacentral:rRNA from 1 species
UAGGGAAUCUUCGGCAAUGGGGGGAACCCUGACCGAGCAACGCCGCGUGAGUGAAGAAGGUUUUCGGAUCGUAAAGCUCUGUUGUUAAGGAAGAACGAGUGUGAGAAUGGAAAGUUCAUGCUGUGACGGUACUUAACCAGAAAGCCACGGCUAACUACGUGCCAGCAGCCGCGGUAAUACGUAGGUGGCAAGCGUUGUCCGGAUUUAUUGGGCGUAAAGCGAGCGCAGGCGGUCAAUUAAGUCUGAAGUUAAAGGCAGUGGCUCAACCAUUGUAGGCUUUGGAAACUGUUUAACUUGAGUGCAGAAGGGGAGAGUGGAAUUCCAUGUGUAGCGGUGAAAUGCGUAGAUAUAUGGAGGAACACCGGUGGCGAAAGCGGCUCUCUGGUCUGUAACUGACGCUGAGGCUCGAAAGCGUGGGGAGCGAACAGG